rfam:Firmicutes bacterium CAG:83 genomic scaffold, scf37
GGAGGGGACUCUGGAGAAGCUCACGACAGUGAGUGCCGAAGGUGCAAGGCCUACGGGCCGAAUCUCUCAGGCAAAAGGACAGAGCGACCGGG